AGGUCUGCGAGGGCAGCGUUGCUCCUCCGAACCCCACGCUCUCGAGCAAGGGAGGCAGGCAGAGAGCCUGAGGGAAGGAGUACUGGGGGGAGGGGGGCGGGGGGGAGAGUGUGGGGGUGCGAAAAAAUUACCCCUUCUGCCUCGUCCCUCCCGCCCAAACUUUCUGUCCCAGGCAGGGGCUGCGGCAGCGGCCGCCCGCGCCCACAGCUGUCAAAAACGCCCCGCGGCUGCCGCCAACUUUGCGGUAAGGGCGACCGGCGGUGCCGCGCGGGGAUAGCCGCCCUACUGCCUCCCGCUUCCCUCUUCCCCCUUUCUCCUUCCCGCUCCUCCGCCCGGUUCCUUCCCGCAGCGGCUGCAGUCUCUCCCGCUGCUUCUCACUUACGAGCUCCAGGCGCUGCUGGAGCGAGCGGGAGAGAAAGUAGCUAGGAGAAAGGUGGAGGGAGGGCUGAGACAGGGGAAAAGACACGACGGAAAAUAAAGCGUAGCCCAGAGGAGGGAGUAAGGAACCGAGGGGGAGAGGGGAGAGCGUUAGAAGGGAAGCGAAAAGUUAAACAGAUGGAAAGUUUUCGCUUGUGGUGCCGGUUUCCCGCUUCCCACCCAUUGCUCCAUCAGCUCCCGGGGCUCUGCUGCGGCGGCGGCUGCUGCUCGGUGUGGGAUCUGAAGAAUUUUUUUGUCAAAGGAUACCGGCAGCCGAGCCUGUUAGGCCACCCCUCGUGUCCUGCCUGUGAAAAAAUGCACUGGGAUGCGCUAGUUCAACCCAGAUCGGCUCCCUUCCGCAGCCUCUGUAUAAACACGAGAGUAGGAAUGACUGUUUAGAAAGUGAGCAUUAGGAGAACUUUUCAGAUUGGAGCACUGAGAAAUUGCAAGUUUGAGAUAGAGUCUGAGUAGGAAUUGCAGCUUGAGAGGAAUGGAAAUAUAAGUCAUCCAAACUGUGAUGUCUCCACAUUGUGGUAUUUCUUGCUGUCUUGAUCUUCCUACUCACAUAAGGAAUUUGUGGUUCACUUGAAUCUUCUGCCCAUUUUGCAGACCUGGAGGUUCUGUCCAGAGGAUGUGCCCAACCAACAUAGCAGAAGUGAGACUUAAGGCACUAGUAGCAUACAAGAGGCUACAGUAACAUAACAAACUGAAAUCCUCCAUAUUUUGAUGUCUGACAAAGUGAGAAUGAGCACUUCUAUAGUUAUUACACUAUAAUUCAAAUGUAAAUGAAAUCUACAGUUUGCCAGUAGAAAGAAUCUCCAGAUGAGAAAUUGCGUCGUCUUGAUAGAAAAUUUAUGUUCUCUAAUCCACAACUAGUAAAGCAAAAAAUCCAGCAUAAAAACAACCAUCAACAUUUUAGACCAAUACCAUUAUGAAGUCUUAAUAUUUUUAUUAAUUUUAUUAAUAUUUAUGGAUGUAACAUCUAUAUGCAUAUUGAACAUUUAUAUUAAAUUCCUGUGCUCAGUAUUACUGUUGAUUUCAUUUACAUUUAGAACUUUCUAACCCCUGUUAACCAAGUGAAAAAAUGUAGUACAAAGUUCAUGGAAGUGUGUCAAAUAAUAGCAGAUACUUUAGUUUUCUGAGUCAAAAACCAUUUUUGUCACUCAGAGAAUUUAAGAUCAGCUAAUCCCCUUGCCCCUUGCACUAAAAUACGAAGGUGAUUUGAAGUCUUUCCAGCACUUAAGUAUUUCUAGAUCCUCUCAGUCAUAAUGGUGUUUGAGAUAAAAAAAGGUUAUCUGCAGCAUAUCCAUCUUUUUUCUUUUUGUACCAUAUCCUCUGUACCCAGUCUUUUCUGUCUUCUAGAGGUUGCUACCGUACAGUUUGAUUUAUCUUGAACUUUCCCAAAUGCAUUAGCAGAUGUUCUUAAAGACAAACGUACUUCCAGUACUUUAUGAGCUCAGUUGAAAGAAUAUAUAUUAAAAGCAAUAGAUACAGAUGCUACUUUGUAGUACUACAACAGCUUUUGUAAGGGACACUAGAAGGUUUUAAACAUGAGCAAAGAAAACUGUUCAACCCACUGUAAAGUGCAAUAUGUUUCAGCAACUUGCUUAAAGUAGUAAAGCAAAAAUACAUGGUUUGGAUCUGUUUGUUAGUUCUAUGGUCAUAGUUUCUCCAAUGAGAAUAUACACAUUUACAUUUAAAAGCUCUCUAGAUUGAAGUUUCUUCUUUCUAUGUUGCCACUUCCAAUCUCUGUCCAUCAAAAUUGUUUUAUAUAGCUCAGUAAUUGCUAGUCAGAGACCACACGUAGUGUUCUAUAUGCAUUCUGGAAUAUGUCUCAGCUUAUCUCAUAUAACACUUGAGGGUAUUUUUCCCAAGUGAGUCUCAAUGUUUUUCAGUUCUCUUAGUGUUUUACCAUUUGUUUUCCUUAUAUUACUCCAUUCAAAAGUGAUUGCCUUGGAGAGUUAGCUGUAAGCAUGAUGGGAAAAUCUUUCUUUUUUCUCAUGCAGUUUAACUGCUUUAGUGUUGAACUUUAAUUUUUGAUGGGAUUUUACUUCUUUUAUCAUAGUAUCUUACAAUGAGCAUUUCUGCACUUAGUUUGCUUUCCUAAAUGAGUUUUAACAAAUAAAAUGCCCCAGUCACAGCUAACAAUGACUGGUAACUCAGCAUCUUAAAAGCAACAAAAAUAUCAAAUGUAAUAUUGCAUGGCAAGUCACAAAAUCUGUCAUGUCCAGUCUUGAAAGAUUACUGCUAAGAUUUCCCUACUUUUGGCAGAAUAAUUUUUCUGCUAUUUCACCUUGCUUAAAUGGAUGCUACGACCUAAGCUGAAUACAGUACAGAACAUUAAAGGAGGCUUUAAAUAACAUGGCAUAAUGAUUCCUGAUGCAUCAUAACUUCUUUAUUCCUUUUCUAUUUUGUUUAUAAUUGCUUCAAAUAUUAAAAUAUAAUUUGAUCUUCAUGUCAACAGAAAGAAGACAAAAGAGUUGACAAAAUCCAAAAAUACAAAAAAAAGAGACCAACUUCUAGAUUUCAAGCUCUCCUAGAAGAGGAUUCAGCUACUCUUAACAGCAGAUAUAAUAGUUCUUGUUUGAACUUGAGCUUGGUUCUAAGCCUCACAUCAAAAGAAGUAGUUAAAAUGUCAAGUUCUCUUUCUGCUCUUUAGCAUAAAAAUACGUUGUUGACAACAUCUACUGGACUUCUUUUCUUUCUCACAUUGUGGCCAGGUGCAGUAGGAAAACGAAGGUGUAGACUUUGCUAUAGGCAUUGUUUAAAAUAUGAGGAAUGUAGAGAGAAAGUAGGAAAUGAAAAUAGUUCUAUCCAAAAAACUACUUUCCUUUUUAUAGUACUUUUUUAUCCAUGCACUUCUACCACUGGAUCAUAGGAUCAUCAGCCAAAUACUGUUUGGAAUUGACAGUGCUAUCCAGAUAGAGCUCUGAAUUUCCUUUCUGUCCUUUGGCUGCCCCACUUCCAGUUAGUUUGAUUUCACAUCCAAAGGGUUGGUCUUGGAUCUUGGAGCAAUCUCUCCAAAUCUGUGUAUGCUGUAGUUGAAUUUUCUGAAUCAAAAAUACGAAAUUGACUUCAUCUGUAUGUAUGUAUACAUACAUAUAUAUAUAUGUGCAUGUGAAAUUAAUAAAAAAUAUAUGCUAUGUGUGAAUGGAUGUACAAGGAGAAUAAAGGAAAUACAGAACUGUUGGCUAGGUGGUUCUUUUUAAAAUUUCAAAAUGUGAAGUCAAUUCAGAAUUCAAAUGUGGAUCUUUUAGUAUUGAUUAUGCAGGGCAGGACAGUCGUAUUUUAUUUCAAGGAGAGAAAAAUGUUAUUUUCUGCUAUGAAAGUUAAUUUACAAAUAUACUCAUACAGACUUUCUGUAAUCCAAUGUAACAGUACUGUCAGUGAGUAUCUCAAAGCAGAGCUAAAUAUGAAGAGGACUGACCAAUGGCUCUAAAGAAGAGUCAAAGGAAGCUACCAUUUGAAGAACUGCUAGAAACAAUUAUUCAUGAAAUACUUACCCUGAAAGGCUGGCUAUUCUCAGAACAUGGCAUCAGUAGCAACUGAGAUUCUCUUUGUAAAACUAUACUGUAUAUGGUGAACAUUUUAAUUUGACCCUCUAUUUCUGAUUUCUGAGUUCCAUGUGCUUGUAUCCUCUGCCCUAUGUCUUCUGCAAACACACUGUAUACAAGCAAAAGACUUAUUUGUGUUUGGUACAUGUAAGUAAAAAAAAGUUGGUAAUACUCUGAUUGGCUUUGUGAUCUAGACACCAUAAUUUGAAAUGUUCUAACACUCAGAAUCAAAACAAUUAUAAUAGUUGCUGCAAAAAACUAGAAGGCAUAAAAGAAGCUAACCUCCUCAAUCUCCCCACCUUCUUCUUUCUCU